UGCUGGAAGUACGGCGAGUGAGUCUGGGGUGUCAUAUCGAAGACCCUGGAUCCGGGAUUCCGAAAGGGAUGCUGGGGCGAAAGCUGCGCGAGCUGUGCAAAAAGAAAUGCACUCACACGAAAAGAAAUCCCGGCAAGACAUUGCCGGGCCGACGAUUCGUUUGAGAAGAAGUAUUGAAGUAAUAGACGCAGGAAUUGAACUGAAGAGUUUGAUCCUGGCUCAGAUUGAACGCUGGCGGAAUGCUUUACACAUGCAAGUCGAGCGGCAGCGCGGGGGCAACCCUGGCGGCGAGCGGCGAACGGGUGAGUAAUGCAUCGGAACGUACCCAGUCGUGGGGGAUAACGUGGCGAAAGUCACGCUAAUACCGCAUACGUCCUGAGGGGAGAAAGCAGGGGAUCGCAAGACCUUGCGCGAUUGGAGCGGCCGAUGUCUGAUUAGCUAGUGGUGGGGUAAAGGCCGUACCAAGGCGACGAUCAGUAGCUGGUCUGAGAGGACGAUCAGCC
rnacentral:rRNA from 1 species